GGGGAGGUGGCUCAGUCGGUAAAGUGUUUGCCUUGUAAGCAUGAGGACCUGAGUUCGAUCCUCAGAAUCCAUG
rnacentral:tRNA from 1 species